UGUGGGAGCGGGCUUGCUCGCGAUACAGGCGCCUCGGUCUUUCAGUUAAUGCGCGUCGUUGCCAUCGCGAGCAAGCCCGCUCCCACA
rnacentral:misc_RNA from 1 species